rnacentral:misc_RNA from 1 species
GGUUUGUGAUCAAAGUGAUGAGUUAUUUAUUGAAUUAUAGGGGCCAUGAUCAUCUCCAUUUAAUAAGAUGCUUAAUCUCUAUUGUUGGAAUUUUGCAGAAAGUAGCUGAAAUCUAUUGUGCUUAUGUAUUCUCAAUCUGGGUUGUUAGAAUAGGCAAAACUUCCAGUAAAAGACAAUGGAAGAGAUUGGAAGUUCCAGUCUUUUGUGUUGUAUAUAUUGGAUUUUUCCAUUAAAUUUCCUUAUAAGAAAAAAAA